rnacentral:rRNA from 1 species
GACGAACGCUGGCGGCGUGCCUAAUACAUGCAAGUGGGACGCAAGGGAACACACUGUGCUUGCACACCGUGUUUUCUUGAGUCGCGAACGGGUGAGUAACGCGUAGGUAACCUGCCUAUUAGCGGGGGAUAACUAUUGGAAACGAUAGCUAAUACCGCAUAAUAUUAAUUAUUGCAUGAUAAUUGAUUGAAAGAUGCAAGCGCAUCACUAGUAGAUGGACCUGCGUUGUAUUAGCUAGUUGGUAAGGUAAGAGCUUACCAAGGCGACGAUACAUAGCCGACCUGAGAGGGUGAUCGGCCACACUGGGACUGAGACACGGCCCAGACUCCUACGGGAGGCAGCAGUAGGGAAUCUUCGGCAAUGGACGAAAGUCUGACCGAGCAACGCCGCGUGAGUGAAGAAGGUUUUCGGAUCGUAAAGCUCUGUUGUAAGUCAAGAAACGUGUGUGAGAGUGGAAAAGUUCACA